UGAACGCUGGCGGCGUGCUUAACACAUGCAAGUCGAGCGGCAGCGCGGGAGCAAUCCUGGCGGCGAGCGGCGAACGGGUGAGUAAUGCUUCGGAAUCUGCCCAGUAGUGGGGAAUAACCAGUCGAAAGACUGGCUAAUACCGCAUACGACCUAUGGGUGAAAGCAGGGGACCGCAAGGCCUUGCGCUAUUGGAUGAGCCGAAGUCGGAUUAGCUAGUUGGUGAGGUAACGGCUCACCAAGGCGACGAUCCGUAGCUGGUCUGAGAGGACGACCAGCCACACUGGGACUGAGACACGGCCCAGACUCCUACGGGAGGCAGCAGUGGGGAAUAUUGGACAAUGGGGGCAACCCUGAUCCAGCGACGCCGCGUGUGUGAAGAAGGCCUGCGGGUUGUAAAGCACUUUUAGUGGGGAGGAAAACGUCUGACCUAACACGUCAGAACUUGACUUAACCCACAGAAAAAGCACCGGCUACUCUGUGCCAGCA
rnacentral:rRNA from 1 species